AAUGGGGAAAGGAAGGGCUGUUGAAUAAGUGGAGCUGUAAUAAAGUGGGAAUCCAUGUGGAAAACAGAUGAAAUUGAAUGUCUACUUCAUGUCACAAGCCAAUAUAAACUUUGGAUGUCUUAAUGUCAAAAUAAAACUUUUCGCGAAGGCCCUCGGCGGGUGUUGACGCGAUGUGAUUUCUGCCCAGUGCUCUGAAUGUCAAAGUGAAGAAAUUCGAUGAAGCACAGGUAAACGGCGGGAGUAACUAUGACUCUCUUAAGGUAGCCAAAUGCCUUGUCAUCUAGUUAGUGAUGCGCAUGAAUGGAUGAACGAGAUUCCCACUGCCCCUACCUACUAUCCAGUGAAACCACAGCCAAGGGAACCGGCUUGGCGGAAUCAGCGGGGAAAGAAGACCCUGUUGAGCUUGACUCUAGUCUGGCACAGUGAAGAGACAUGGGAGGUGUAGAAUAAGUGGGAGGCCCCCGGCGCCCCUUCCCUGAGUCCCCGCGAGGGGGCGGGGAGGGGGGCACGCCAGCCUUGCAGGCCGCAGGUGAAAUACCACUACUCUAAUUGUUUUUUUUCACUGACCCGAGGGGCUCUCGCUUCUGGCGCCAAGCGAAAAAAAUAAAAUAAAAUAAAACUUUUAGCAGAAAACAUUUAGGCAUCUACUAGAUCUAUAAUUAAGAAAAAAAUCUGGCCCUACUGGUUUGGCUCAGUGGAUAAAGUGUCAGCCUGGGUACUGAAGGGCCCGGGUUUGAUUCCUGUCAAGGGCUCUAUCCCCAGUAGGGGGCGCACAGGAGGUAGCCAAUCAAUGAUUCUCAUCAUUGAUGUUUCUAUCUCUUUUUCCCUCUUCCUCUCUGAAAUCAAUAAAGAUAUAUUUAAAAAGAAGAAAAAAUUCUGAAACAUUAUACAAAAAUUUUUACCAUAAAUAGAAUAUAGAUAAAUUUGAUUGUAUUAAAAUUGAAAAAGUUGGUUAAUUCAACUAUAACUUA
rnacentral:ncRNA from 1 species